AAAACUGGGCUUGAAAUUUUGUGCACUCAGGAAUAGCUGACACCACAGCUGAGAUGAGCGAUUGAAGGCCAACGAUCUAAAUGCUAUUCAUAGGCCUAUUGAAUUUUUUAUAUAAUUUUAAAUGUUUAAGAAAUUAUACCAGAAGUGUAUGCUAUACUUUAGGAAAGCUUUAGUAACACAACUGUCCGCUGCAAACUGACUGAACUGGGUUGAAUCUGGUCAGUACCUGUAUAAUUGAAAUCCUGAGGGAAACAGAGGUUGCUGUUGGAAGAGAUGUUAGUGAGGCCAGCACGGGAGCUCAUCUUGUUGUCAGUGCAGAUCCUAAUGCUUCAGUAUAGUGAUGAUAACACUAAAGCCAACAUGACAUUAUGCCUUUCGGUGUUCAGUGUAAAUCUAAGGGUCUUCCUCAGACAGAUUUAGGGUACGUGUAAAACUAGUGGCCUAAUAAUAUAACAUAAUCAACCACAUCACUCCAUACUCAACAAGAUAGCAAUAAACAUUAAAGCUUAUUUGCCAUUGUAAACAAUGGAUCAUGUAUUUACUAAUAAUCCUGUUUAAGUAAACUGAACAUAUUUAGUUCUGUUCUAAUAUUUGUGGGUCUGUAUUAGUCAUAUUAAACAGAUAUCAUUUGAUUUGAAUUUCUGAACUAUUUUCCCUUCUGCAUAUGCUCCUGUAGUAGUAAGUGUUGUUAUCAUUUAGAAGGUCAGUCAGUAUGCAGUGCAUAGUGUUUGGCAUCAGUUAAUCCAGGAAAGACCGAGAUGCCACACAGUCUUACAUAUAGUUUAAUCAUUACCUUUUUGUAGGCCAGAGAGAAUAAAUCAUUAAUGGCUAAAAAAAAAAAAAUGCU